AGAGUUUGAUCAUGGCUCAGAUUGAACGCUGGCGGCAGGCCUAACACAUGCAAGUCGAACGGUAACAGAAAGCAGCUUGCUGCUUUGCUGACGAGUGGCGGACGGGUGAGUAAUGUCUGGGAAACUGCCUGAUGGAGGGGGAUAACUACUGGAAACGGUAGCUAAUACCGCAUAACGUCGCAAGACCAAAGAGGGGGACCUUAGGGCCUCUUGCCAUCGGAUGUGCCCAGAUGGGAUUAGCUAGUAGGUGGGGUAACGGCUCACCUAGGCGACGAUCCCUAGCUGGUCUGAGAGGAUGACCAGCCACACUGGAACUGAGACACGGUCCAGACUCCUACGGGAGGCAGCAGUGGGGAAUAUUGCACAAUGGGCGCAAGCCUGAUGCAGCCAUGCCGCGUGUAUGAAGAAGGCCUUCGGGUUGUAAAGUACUUUCAGCGGGGAGGAAGGGAGUAAAGUUAAUACCUUUGCUCAUUGACGUUACCCGCAGAAGAAGCACCGGCUAACUCCGUGCCAGCAGCCGCGGUAAUACGGAGGGUGCAAGCGUUAAUCGGAAUUACUGGGCGUAAAGCGCACGCAGGCGGUUUGUUAAGUCAGAUGUGAAAUCCCCGGGCUCAACCUGGGAACUGCAUCUGAUACUGGCAGGCUUGAGUCUCGUAGAGGGGGGUAGAAUUCCAGGUGUAGCGGUGAAAUGCGUAGAGAUCUGGAGGAAUACCGGUGGCGAAGGCGGCCCCCUGGACGAAGACUGACGCUCAGGUGCGAAAGCGUGGGGAGCAAACAGGAUUAGAUACCCUGGUAGUCCACGCCGUAAACGAUGUCGACUUGGAGGUUGUGCCCUUGAGGCGUGGCUUCCGGAGCUAACGCGUUAAGUCGACCGCCUGGGGAGUACGGCCGCAAGGUUAAAACUCAAAUGAAUUGACGGGGGCCCGCACAAGCGGUGGAGCAUGUGGUUUAAUUCGAUGCAACGCGAAGAACCUUACCUGGUCUUGACAUCCACGGAAGUUUUCAGAGAUGAGAAUGUGCCUUCGGGAACCGUGAGACAGGUGCUGCAUGGCUGUCGUCAGCUCGUGUUGUGAAAUGUUGGGUUAAGUCCCGCAACGAGCGCAACCCUUAUCCUUUGUUGCCAGCGGUCCGGCCGGGAACUCAAAGGAGACUGCCAGUGAUAAACUGGAGGAAGGUGGGGAUGACGUCAAGUCAUCAUGGCCCUUACGACCAGGGCUACACACGUGCUACAAUGGCGCAUACAAAGAGAAGCGACCUCGCGAGAGCAAGCGGACCUCAUAAAGUGCGUCGUAGUCCGGAUUGGAGUCUGCAACUCGACUCCAUGAAGUCGGAAUCGCUAGUAAUCGUGGAUCAGAAUGCCACGGUGAAUACGUUCCCGGGCCUUGUACACACCGCCCGUCACACCAUGGGAGUGGGUUGCAAAAGAAGUAGGUAGCUUAACCUUCGGGAGGGCGCUUACCACUUUGUGAUUCAUGACUGGGGUGAAGUCGUAACAAGGUAACCGUAGGGGAACCUGCGGUUGGAUCACCU
rnacentral:rRNA from 3 species